CUUCCCAUCAGAUGUGCCCAGAUGGGAUUAGCUAGUAGGUGGGGUAACGGCUCACCUAGGCGACGAUCCCUAGCUGGUCUGAGAGGAUGACCAGCCACACUGGAACUGAGACACGGUCCAGACUCCUACGGGAGGCAGCAGUGGGGAAUAUUGCACAAUGGGCGCAAGCCUGAUGCAGCCAUGCCGCGUGUAUGAAGAAGGCCUUCGGGUUGUAAAGUACUUUCAGCGGGGAGGAAGGUGUUGUGGUUAAUAACCGCAGCAAUUGACGUACCCGCAGAAGAAGCCCCGGUA
rnacentral:rRNA from 1 species